GUGCGCAGGACGGGUUAGUAACGCGUGGGAACGUGCCCUUCUCUACGGAACAGUCCCGGGAAACUGGGUUUAAUACCGUAUACGCCCUUCGGGGGAAAGAUUUAUCGGAGAAGGAUCGGCCCGCGUCUGAUUAGAUAGUUGGUGGGGUAACGGCCUACCAAGUCGACGAUCAGUAGCUGGUUUGAGAGGAUGAUCAGCAACACUGGGACUGAGACACGGCCCAGACUCCUACGGGAGGCAGCAGUGGGGAAUCUUAGACAAUGGGCGCAAGCCUGAUCUAGCCAUGCCGCGUGAGUGAUGAAGGCCUUAGGGUCGUAAAGCUCUUUCGCUGGGGAAGAUAAUGACGGUACCCAGUAAAGAAACCCCGGCUAACUCCGUGCCAGCAGCCGCGGUAAUACGGAGGGGGUUAGCGUUGUUCGGAAUUACUGGGCGUAAAGCGCGCGUAGGCGGAUUAGAAAGUUGGGGGUGAAAUCCCGGGGCUCAACCCCGGAACUGCCUCCAAAACUACUAGUCUAGAGGUCGAGAGAGGUGAGUGGAAUUCCGAGUGUAGAGGUGAAAUUCGUAGAUAUUCGGAGGAACACCAGUGGCGAAGGCGGCUCA
rnacentral:rRNA from 1 species